rnacentral:rRNA from 1 species
GUUUGAUCCUGGCGUCAGGGAUGAACGCUAGCUACAGGCUUAACACAUGCAAGUCGAGGGGCAGCAUGAUCUUAGCUUGCUAAGAUUGAUGGCGACCGGCGCACGGGUGAGUAACGCGUAUCCAACCUUCCCUAUAGUAGGGGAUAGCCCGUAGAAAUGCGGAUUAAUACCCUAUGUUGUAUUUUGAGGACAUCUGACGAAUACCAAAGGUUUACCGCUAUAGGAUGGGGAUGCGUCUGAUUAGGUUGUUGGCGGGUAACGGCCCACCAAGCCUACGAUCAGUAGGGGUUCUGAGAGGAAGGUCCCCCACAUUGGAACUGAGACACGGUCCAAACUCCUACGGGAGGCAGCAGUGAGGAAUAUUGGUCAAUGGGCGAGAGCCUGAACCAGCCAAGUAGCGUGCAGGAUGACGGCCCUAUGGGUUGUAAACUGCUUUUAUGCGGGGAUAAAGUGAGGGACGUGUCCCUUAUUGUAGGUACCGCAUGAAUAAGGACCGGCUAAUUCCGUGCC